GACAGACUUCGUCCUGUCAAAAAGAUUUGUAAUGUGGCAGUUUUUGUGCCUACGUAUUUUAAAAAAUUCUCCUGAACAGAACCGUCACCCUGGUGAUAGGGCGUUGUGAAUAAAAAAUAAUUAAUUAAAACAUAUAUAAGGAUUUAAAAGUAAGUAAUCGCUUUAUUGUUAAUCAUGUGAAUCAUAAUUAUUAUUAUUAUCAUUGUAGUGCUUUGUGGUAUACGAUGUUUUUUGUUUGAUUACCUGGCGCAUAGAUAAACAAAUCUGAUGGUUUUCCAACACGGGAACAGGCAACAUACAAUUGACCAUGUGAGAAACAUGGGUUUUCUAGAUUAAUACCACAAACACUUAAUGAUUGCCCCUGGGACUUGUUUAUAGUCAUAGCAAAAGCAAGCCGCACUGGAAACUGUAGUCGUUUAAACUCAAAUGGCACAUCAGUCGGAAUCAUUGGGAUGCGCGCCAGUAUAGCUCGUUCGCUCAACCAAUCAUGGUUUCUGUAAUUUUGAGAAACAUCUGGAAACACCUUCUGAAUAAGUUCAUCUUUUGAUCGA